CAAGCGAGCGCCCAUAUUUACAAACCAACUAUGUGAAUGGAGAAAUAGGAAUUCGCAUUCUAGGCUACGUUUAUGACCGGGCGGAUUCGCGUCGCGCGAUGCGAUGAAAAUCGCUCUAUCGCUACCAGCGGUUUCGCCAUCGUAAUCGCUAGCGAUUGAGUGUUUACAGUACAGCGAAAUCAGAAGCGAUUGAAAAUUUAUAACGUCAAAUCCGUUCGUAGUUUCUUUUACUUUUCAUUAAAAACAAACAUGUGUGCACGUGUUCGUAAAAUUUUGCUUACAGAAAGUAGUCUUUUAGUGCGUCAGCAGAUUUUAAGAUUUUGUAAACAGAAAAGAUUCCAAGUGCAUCCAAUUUGCAAAGAACGCAAAAGCCAUGGAGAGUUCCAUCAUUUACACACCCGCCUUCUACAAUAUCCUGAGAAAUUUAUGGAGUAUUACCGAAUGAGAAUUGACACGUUGAAUUAUAUCUUGAAUAAUCUAUUCAAACAUAUAGAAAAAAAUACUAUACUCAGAAAACACCAAUUGAUGCUGUAGAAAGGCUCGCAUUGACCAAAAGGUGUAGGCUGCAUCAAUUUUAUGGAUUCAGGAGUUUCCGAUUUAUCUUCAUCAUUAAGUUCCACCAAUUCAUCACAA
rnacentral:misc_RNA from 1 species